AUUGAACGCUGGCGGCAUGCCUUACACAUGCAAGUCGAACGGCAGCACGGGAGCAAUCCUGGUGGCGAGUGGCGAACGGGUGAGUAAUAUAUCGGAACGUGCCCAGUCGUGGGGGAUAACGCAGCGAAAGCUGUGCUAAUACCGCAUACGAUCUAAGGAUGAAAGCGGGGGAUCGCAAGACCUCGCGCGAGUGGAGCGGCCGAUAUCAGAUUAGCUAGUUGGUGGGGUAAAGGCCCACCAAGGCGACGAUCUGUAGCUGGUCUGAGAGGACGACCAGCCACACUGGAACUGAGACACGGUCCAGACUCCUACGGGAGGCAGCAGUGGGGAAUUUUGGACAAUGGGCGCAUGCCUGAUCCAGCAAUGCCGCGUGCAGGAUGAAGGCCUUCGGGUUGUAAACUGCUUUUGUACGGAACGAAACGGCCCUUUCUAAUACAGGGGGCUAAUGACGGUACCGUAAGAAUAAGCACCGGCUAACUACGUGCCAGCAGCCGCCGUAACAC
rnacentral:rRNA from 1 species